UACGUAGGGGGCAAGCGUUGUCCGGAAUCAUUGGGCGUAAAGCGCGUGUAGGCGGUUCGGUAAGUCCGCUGUGAAAGUCGGGGGCUCAACCCUGGGAUGCCGGUCGAUACUGGCGGACUAGAGUCCGGAAGAGGCGAGUGGAAUUCCCGGUGUAGCGGUGAAAUGCGCAGAUAUCGGGAGGAACACCAAUGGCGAAGGCAGCUCGCUGGGACGGUACUGACGCUGAGACGCGAAAGCGUGGGGAGCAAACAGG
rnacentral:rRNA from 1 species